GAUUUCAAUUGAAAAAGUCAUCAACAAUAAAAUUGUAUAACUCAUCAAGAUCUAAAACUUUUAUUUUUGUUAUUUCCUCAUCCGAUAAAGUGUUAGUAACAGUGUUCACAAAUUUUAUAUAUAUGUGUUAUAGUUUAUAAACCAGAUAAAAGAUACGUCAAUUUUGUGAACAAUGUUAGUAUCACUUUGUCGGAUGAAGAAAUGAUCAAAAUAAAAGUUUUAGAUCUUCAUGAUUUAUUCAACUUUGUUGUUGAUAACUUUUUCAGUUGAAAUC
rnacentral:pre_miRNA from 1 species